rnacentral:antisense_RNA from 16 species
GAUCAUGGCGGCGCUGGUGGAGCAGCCGAAAAGCUGGCCGUUUUUAUCGUGUACGGUAUUCCUACCUCCGUCAGCGCUACCAUCCCU